GGCUCAGAACGAACGCUGGCGGCGCGCCUAAUACAUGCAAGUCGAGCGAGAAGGUGUAGCAAUACGCUUGUAAAGUGGCGAACGGGUGAGGAUUACAUGGGUAACCUACCCUCGAGUGGGGGAUAACCAGCCGAAAGGUUGGCUAAUACCGCGUACGCUUCCGGAGCUGCGGUUUCGGAAGGAAAGCGAUACCGUGGGUAUCGCGCUCAUGGAUGGGCUCAUGCCCUAUCAGCUUGUUGGUGAGGUAACGGCUCACCAAGGCUUCGACGGGUAGCUGAUCUGAGAGGAUGAUCAGCCACACUGGCACUGCGACACGGGCCAGACUCCUACGGGAGGCAGCAGUAAGGAAUAUUGCGCAAUGGGCGAAAGCCUGACGCAGCGACGCCGCGUGGGGGAUGAAGGUCUUCGGAUUGUAAACCCCUUUCGGGAGGGAAGAUGGGAUGGGUAACCAUUCGGACGGUACCUCCAGAAGCAGCCACGGCUAACUUCGUGCCAGCAGCCGCGGUAGUACGAAGGUGGCAAGCGUUGUUCGGAUUUACUGGGCGUACAGGGAGCGUAGGCGGUUGGGUAAGCCCUCCGUGAAAUCUCCAGGCUUAACCUGGAAAGUGCAGAGGGGACUGCUCAGCUAGAGGAUGGGAGAGGAGCGCGGAAUUCCCGGUGUAGCGGUGAAAUGCGUAGAGA
rnacentral:rRNA from 1 species